UUUGAGGGAAUAAAGAAACGGGCACGAUACGUGCCCGUAGCAAUCAAAAAGCUUUCUCGCGUGCGUGUGUGCUCUGCGUAUUCUUGCCGGCCGCAAGAGUCGAUCAGCUAGAUCGUGUGCUAGCUUUGUGCAGGGACGUAACGUGAAGGAUCUAUCUACUUCAAGUCUGAUUAGCUUCGUACGCUGUGUUGUGAAAAUCCUGACCUGAAGGUGGAGAUUGCUGAUGUGGAAUGGCGGCGGAGGUCACCAUAGAGACCAUAAGCAGACUAGCACCCAGCGCCCAGCAGUAGCAAUCCAACAUAAAUGCACAAAACAAGCACGAGCAGACACACGCAGCAGCAAAGCACGGGGAAUAGAGGUGGAUAGCCAUCCUGAAAUGGCUCUUUUUGGUACCCGUGGCGUGGGGAGCGCCGGUCAGCCCGGCGGACCUUUGAUAUAUGGAAGAUCUAAAACCCUCUGUAAGAUUUUGGUUCUGCAGAAGCCAAUGAUCUGGCACGCUGGGACCUAACUUCUGGAGUGAACGACUGCGGGAAGCAAAAUACAAUAUUGAUGAGAAACAGUUAUAACACACUUCUCUUUGCAAGCUGGAUACGAAGAGAAAUAUGUUAAAUAGACGGAAGAAAAAAAAAGGUAAGCGUUGGCAAGUCUGUGUUGGAUGCAGUGUAUUGCCACGCCAAAUCCACACUGGUUGAGGAGGUGGCUCUGCAACUUGCAGUCCGGCGUGACGAGGUCUUCAUCACAAUUAGCUCGAGAUGAUGCAAGCGUUCCUCAUGUCCGCCCAGGACGAGAGAUACGAUGCGCUGAUGUAGUUUUGUAACCAAUCAUGUCUUUACACAGGCUUGCUAACCUCAU